AAGGCCCGCUUCGGUGGGUACACGAGUGGCGCACGGGUGCGUAACGCGUAUGCAACCUACCUUCAACAGAGGGAUAGCCCCGAGAAAUUGGGAUUAAUACCUCAUAACAUCAUUAUUUCGCAUGGGAUAAUGAUUAAAGCUCCGGCGGUUGGAGAUGGGCAUGCGUAACAUUAGCUUGUUGGUGAGGUAACGGCUCACCAAGGCGACGAUGUUUAGGGGUUCUGAGAGGAUUAUCCCCCACACUGGUACUGAGACACGGACCAGACUCCUACGGGAGGCAGCAGUGAGGAAUAUUGGGCAAUGGACGCAAGUCUGACCCAGCCAUGCCGCGUGCAGGAAUGACGGCCCUACGGGUUGUAAACUGCUUUUAUACGGGAAGAAACCCUACGACUUGUUGUAGGCUGACGGUACCGUAAGAAUAAGCAUCGGCUAACUCCGUGCCAGCAGCCGCGGUAAUACGGAGGAUGCAAGCGUUAUCCGGAUUUAUUGGGUUUAAAGGGUGCGCAGGCGGGCUUGUAAGUCAGUGGUGAAAUCCCUCGGCUCAACCGAGGAACUGCCAUUGAUACUGCGAGUCUAGAGUACAGAUGGGGUA
rnacentral:rRNA from 1 species